rnacentral:rRNA from 1 species
AAAAGGCGGCGUAAGCUGUCGCUAAAGGAUGGACCCGCGGUGCAUUAGCUAGUUGGUAAGGUAACGGCUUACCAAGGCGACGAUGCGUAGCCGAGUUGAGAGACUGAUCGGCCACAUUGGGACUGAGACACGGCCCAAACUCCUACGGGAGGCAGCAGUAGGGAAUCUUCCACAAUGGGCGAAAGCCUGAUGGAGCAACGCCGCGUGAGUGAAGAAGGUUUUCGGAUCGUAAAGCUCUGUUGUUGGUGAAGAAGGAUAGAGGUAGUAACUGGCCCCUAUUUGACGGUAAUCAACCAGAAAGUCACGGCUAACUACGUGCCAGCAGCCGCGGUAAUACGUAGGUGGCAAGCGUUGUCCGGAUUUAUUGGGCGUAAAGCGAGCGCAGGCGGAAAGAUAAGUCUGAUGUGAAAGCCCCCGGCUUAACCGAGGAAUUGCAUCGGAAACUGUGUUUCUUGAGUGCAGAAGAGGAGAGUGGAACUCCAUGUGUAGCGGUGGAAUGCGUAGAUAUAUGGAAGAACACCAGUGGCGAAGGCGGCUCUCUGGUCUGUAACUGACGCUGAGGCUCGAAAGCAUGGGUAGCGAACAGGAUUAGAUACCCUGGUAGUCCAUGCCGUAAACGAUGAGUGCUAAGUGUUGGGAGGUUUCCGCCUCUCA